ACCAGACGAUGCGGUUACCGCGGCUGCUGGCACGGAGUUAGCCGGUGCUUCUUCUGUGAGUGAUGUCCUUCCUGCCGGCUAUUAACCCGCAGGCCUUCUUCCUCACUGAAAGUGCUUUACAACCCGAAGGCCUUCUUCACACACGCGGCAUGGCUGGAUCAGGGUUGCCCCCAUUGUCCAAUAUUCCCCACUGCUGCCUCCCGUAGGAGCUGGGCCGUGUCUCAGUCCCAGUGUGGCUGAUCAUCCUCUCAGACCAGCUACGGAUCGUCGCCUUGGUGAGCCGUUACCUCACCAACCAGCUAAUCCGACAUAGGCUCAUCCGAUAGCGCGAGGCCCGAAGGUCCCCCGCUUUCCCCCGUAGGGCGUAUGCGGUAUUAGCCUGGGUUUCCCCAGGUUAUCCCCACUACCGGGCAGAUUCCUAUGCAUUACUCACCCGUCCGCCGCUCGCCACCAGGGAGCAAGCUCCCCGUGCUGCCGCUCGACUUGCAUGUGUUAGGCCUGCCGCCAGCGUUCAAU
rnacentral:rRNA from 1 species